rnacentral:rRNA from 1 species
UACGUAGGGGGCAAGCGUUGUCCGGAUUUAUUGGGCGUAAAGAGCGUGUAGGCGGCCAGACAGGUCCGUUGUGAAAACUCGAGGCUCAACCUCGAGACGCCGAUGGAAACCGCCUGGCUAGAGUCCGGAAGAGGAGAGUGGAAUUCCUGGUGUAGCGGUGAAAUGCGCAGAUAUCAGGAAGAACACCGGUGGCGAAAGCGCUCUGCUAGGCCGCAACUGACACUGAGGGACGAAAGCUAGGGGAGCGAAUGGG